UACAGAGGGGGCAAGCGUUAUUCGGAAUUAUUGGGCGUAAAGGGCGCGUAGGCGGCCUGACAAGUGGAAGGUGAAAUCCCUCGGCUUAACCGAGGAACUGCCCUCCAAACUGUUUGGCUUGAGACCGGGAGAGGUGAGUGGAAUUCCCAGUGUAGCGGUGAAAUGCGUAGAUAUUGGGAAGAACACCGGUGGCGAAGGCGGCUCUCUGGACCGAGACUGACGCUGAGGCGCGAAAGCGUGGGGAGCAAACAGG
rnacentral:rRNA from 1 species